GGUGUCCAAAUAGACCCUUUAACCAUAACAAAUGGACCAAUAUAGUGUGCAACAAAGUCCUAAUGGAGGUCCAGGGCAGAGGUCUGGUUUAACUCAAAAAUAGACAACGGUUCGGAGCAAAGGAAGUGGCCUGUUAAGAUAGUAGAAAUUGCAUGUCACAGAAACAAACACAUGUACUACAUAGAUUUCCCUGAACAGAACCAGGUGAUUCUACAUAGCCUAGCUAGUUCUUAUUUUAUUGCCCCAAAAAAAUUUAAUGACACGCAAAGAGAAAAAAAAAUCAAAAAUUAAUAAAGGAAGAACUAAGAAAGCAUGCUCCAGGGCAAAUUGACUGCGUGCAUAUCUACAAUAGGUGAGAAUUCAGAUGGCAAAACCACACUGUAGGAAAAAUACAGUCCUCC